AGAGAAGCCGGACCCCACCGCCCGGCCCGGGUCCCGGGAGUUUGCAACAGAAAGUUCUGGCCCUACGCUAAUGAAGUGUACAGCCUGGUGGAUGCAGCGGUCUAAGGGAACGGAAACGUAAAAAUUGAGAAAUGGAUUCAGGGACACUUGGGAGAGCCUUUGCCCAGCAGUAAAUAGCUUCAGGUCAGAGAAAUUCAUCAGUGAGCCCCGGAAGAGAGUAUUGGGGCCCGAUAGUCGCUGAGCUUCAGGUCUUGAAAGUGAUUAGGUGGGAAAAUGUAAUUCAGUGACUGUUUAUGAGAUUAGGGAAUGAAGAUUUUUGACGUAUGAGCACAGCUGUUUUGUGCACAGGACCCCAUUCUAUAGCGGGCACUGCCGACCCGGGCACCGUAUUGGGAAUUGGGCGAUUCUUCACUGAGUGCUCUCCAGGGCGUUCAGCAGCCUCUCUGCGCUCUAUUUCUAAAUGACAGUGGCAUCCAGGGUCACCACCCCCCACUGCCCCAGUGAAGACUGUCAACCAUGUCCUCAGACACUUGGUAAAUGUCCCUGGAAGGAAAUGUGGUUCCCUCGCCCCUGAGCACUGAGAACCACUGAUGCAUAGCAAUGAUUCGAAAAAAAGAUCAUCUUCAGGCCACUGGGACUUGACUACACGCUCUCAAAGACAGAAGUAUGUUCAUGCUGAUAUGAAGACACCAUUGACCUUUUCUCACAAUCCGGGCAUUUGCACUGAUAGCGGGAAAGCAAAGGUGGACUAAACUGCUGGCACCUGCGCAGGAGUCAAGACAAUAAAGCCCCGCUGACCCAGUGGUAGUGUUCACCAGCGCACACUCAUAGGAAGGAAAAGAGGCAGUCACCCCAAAAUGGCCUCUUGGAAGCAGUCAAAAUCAUCUUAUUAAAAUAAUCAUUGAAAUAGUUGGAAAUGAUCGCUCUAGACAAGAACUGAGUGUUGAAAGUCUUGGAGUUAAGUCAACAGGAGAAGAGUCAAGUGAUGUCACGGAUGAGCAUCUGGACGUUAAAGCAUACGAGUCUGGCCAGCUUAUGAGAGCUCAAACCUAUGGCUUUCUGACACUAUACAGGUACUACUUUUUAUCUCUUCUAAGAAUUUUAUAGUCUUAUAUAAACAAAAGUGGCAAUACAUUUUAACCCAAUUGAUUUGACCAAUAAAAAGAUUGUUAUAAAAUUGAAUUUAAGUAAAGCCUCUUCUUUGUGAGAGAACAUUUACAAAUAUAGAUAUCCCCCUUAAGACAAUGCUAGGGAGAGAAAAUGUAUUACAAUUAGCUUUUUAAUAUAUAACAUAAAGUACAUUUAAGGGAAAAAAUACAAAUCUGAAUUCAUAUCAAUUUUGAGCUGUUUCAGUAAACUGCACCAUUUUUUAUUAGUUGGUUAUAAUCUACUCAUAUGUACCUUGGUAUUAAAGACAUUUCUUCCCAUUUCAAAAUAAUAACAAAUGUAAAAAAAAAAACAUAAAAAGUAUGUUUCCUCUAAAUUAUAAUUUACCUCAACUUAACCAAACUAAAUACUUGAGAAGAUAUG